rnacentral:rRNA from 1 species
CACGUAGGGCGCAAGCGUUGUCCGGAAUUAUUGGGCGUAAAGAGCUCGUAGGCGGUUUGUCGCGUCUGCUGUGAAAACCCGAGGCUCAACCUCGGGCCUGCAGUGGGUACGGGCAGACUAGAGUGCGGGUAGGGGAGAUUGGAAUUCCUGGUGUAGCGGUGGAAUGCGCAGAUAGUCAAGGAGGAACACCAAUGGCGAAGGCAGAUCUCUGGGCCGUAACUGACGCUGAGGAGCGAAAGCAUGGGGAGCGAACAGG